rnacentral:misc_RNA from 1 species
GGCAACGGAAUUUGCCUUGCCCAGUUGAGAGAAGGGGGAAAAAAAAAGGAUAGGAUCUUUUUAUUGUUAAAAUGGCAUUUUCAGCUCAACUUUUGGUCGGAGUUGAGGUAUCAAUUGGAUGAUUUUUGCGAUAGAAAUUAAAAUUAUAAGUAGUUGGUUGAUUUUUGCAAUAUAAAUUUGAAGUUAAAAGAAAUAACUUCAGGGAUAGCAGUUGGAAGAUUUUUGUGAUAUAAAUUAAAAUUGAAAUUAAGCCAUAAUUUUAAUA